UACGUAGGGACCAAGCGUUGUUCGGAUUUACUGGGCGUAAAGGGCGCGUAGGCGGCAAUUCAAGUCAUCUGUGAAAUCUCCGGGCUUAACCCGGAACGGUCAGGUGAUACUGUUUUGCUAGAGUGCGGAAGGGGCAAUCGGAAUUCUCGGUGUAGCGGUGAAAUGCGUAGAUAUCGGGAGGAACACCAGUGGCGAAGGCGGCGACCUGGGCCAAUAUUGACGCUGAGGUGCGAAUGCGUGGGGAGCAAACAGG
rnacentral:rRNA from 1 species